rnacentral:rRNA from 1 species
GACGAACGCUGGCGGCGUGCUUAACACAUGCAAGUCGAACGGGAAGUCCCUGCUUUUGUGGGGUGCUCUAGUUGCGAACGGGUGAGUAACACGUGAGUAACCUGCCCUUGACUUUGGGAUAACUUCAGGAAACUGGGGCUAAUACCGGAUAGGAGCUCCUGCUGCAUGGUGGGGGUUGGAAAGUUUCGGCGGUUGGGGAUGGACUGGCGGCUUAUCAGCUUGUUGGUUGGGUAGUGUCUUACCAAGGCUUUGACGGGUAGCCGGCCUGAGAGGGUGACAGGAUAAAUUGGGACUGAGAUAAGGCACAGCCCCCUACGGGAGGCAGCAGUGGGGAAUAGUGUAUAAUGGGAUGAAGCCUGAUCCAGCAACGCCGCGUGGGGGAUGACGGCCUUCGGGUUGUAAAGCGCUUUCGCCUGUGACGAAGCGUGAGUGACGGUAAUGGGUAAAGAAGCACCGGCUAACUCCGUG